CGCCUGUCGUUAAUGGAUUGAAGCCUUGAUUCCAACGAUUCGCCAGAGUUAUCAUCUUAUUCAUCUUUGGAAUUCGCUGCAUAAUUCAUGGGCUCGGCGAACACAUGAUCUCUCCUUGCCAGGAGACGAUUGGCCAGACGCUGACGAUUAACUUUUUUUUUUUUUUGCGUGCAAACUGCGAACACGCGUGAAGAAAUUGACGGGUCGAUUGAUCUCGCGAUCAGCGCCAAAGAUAUCAGACGUCAUGUUACAUAAAUCGAUAUGAACGAUAGAAAUCUUCGAUUCCUCAAAGAGGGCAGAUUAAUUAGCGAAAAGUUGAUCCCAUUGAUCGCCUGCCUAUGAAGUGCAGCAAUAAGAAUCUUGUGUACCUUUGGCCGAUAACGUCCAGCGGAGCGUCGUUGUUAGCGGAAUGAUCCGCUAAUUGUCAAUUUUCUAGAAUCUUUGCGGCCGUCGGCGCUACAACACUUCGUUGAACGUUCAAUUACUUCAUUAGCGCUUGAUCAACGAAUUAUUCGUGCUACUCGUGCACUUUUCGCCGUAGCUUUCAGCUGGUGAUCUAUGAACAAUUUACGAGCCUGUUCCAACGCCUUUGCUUCGACGUGUAGCACGUUCCUCUAGUAGAAAAUGUUUAAAUCGAACGUAUUGCCAAAUCUGAAACGUGUGGCAAUACGUGCAGUUUGACGUAUAGUUUCAAUGAUUUUUGUUAGACGUAACUUUUAAAUUCAGGAUUUACUGUAUACUUUGUAAUUGCGAGAUCAUCGAACAAUUGUCAAUUUUUAUACGUGAAUGUAACGCACGAGUAAUGUAAGUUUGUGAAAUUCGCACACUGUCAUUGCAGAUCGCCUCAAAGUCCGGAUUAUUUGUAAAUAACAGUGUGCGCGUGAAUGAAACAUCAUGGAGCAAAACGGUGGAUAAUCGUGGAUGGAAUUUAUCAACGCAGCCGAAAAACUGGAGCUCGAUAUCUUUCCCUUUAAGCUGUAGGCGUGCAUUGAGAGACUCGGCUCGCCAUGGCAUCAGUCCAAAUCACAUGACACCAGGGUCUAUUUUCUAGAUAGACACUGAUACUGUUAUGCACUGAAAUUCCAUCAAGUUCGACAAGUUUAAUAAUAGAAACAGUGUAAAAUUCUAAAACCAUGUAACGGAGAUUCACAUUGUAAAGAAGAAAUACACACGCUGAAUUGGCAAGUGUAUUUACAUUUAAACAAAGAAGAAGAGAAAGAAAGCAGAGCUGUUUCUUUAUAGUAUCCUGAUUUCAGACCUCGACAAAAGAGUGAAGAAAGGAAAUUCUCGCACCUCUUCUUUUUAACAGCAAAGUACUAUACGUAUCGAACAAAUCUCGUUAAUUUACCAAAGUAACCGAGAUUGGCCUAACGUGUCUCACGUAUAUGGAAGAAGAAUGUUGCAGCUUUCGGUGUCGACGAUCGAUUACACAAGCCAUUGGACACGGUUGAUCUCAUGAUAACCACCAGCCAGUCAGCUGUUUAUCUUGGAUUUGGUUUUUGGCGUGUAAUCGGUUAGAAUCGCAUCGUGCAUCGGUUCAUUGGAUUUUUUUAAUCGAUAACCGCGUGCAAACAGCACUCGCGGAUACGUUACGUUCACGGACGGGCUAUAAUUACACGGUCUCCUUCGUGUUUAAUGAAAUGCAGGCGAAUUCGCAGCAUUGUGCAAUAAUUCACGGACACCGAUGCUAACAGGAAGAGAAGCUUCGAACGACGUUUCUGCUCGACAUUCCACGGUAAAGUUUAUUUGGAGCAAAUGAAACUAGAGAGCAUGAAAGUGAAUUAACGUAACCGGAUAACAUUGUUUAACUAGCUUCUACGUAAAUUAUGCAGGUAGGCAAAUAUCAUUUAAUAACGUGAAAUGAACAAUUGUUUUACUGCGUUGUAUUUGCUAACAGUAUGACGAUCGAUAAU